UUAGAGUGCUCAAAGCAGGCUCUUAAUGCCUGUAUACAUAUUCAUGGAAUUGGAGAAUACGUCCCUGGCUCGAUUUGGUUGGUUUUGAGAGUCGAAGGGAAAUGAUUAAUAGGGACUGACGGAGGCAUUCGUAUUGCGACGCGAGGGGUGAAAUCCUGUGACCGUCGCACGACGAACUACUGCGAAAGCAUUUGCCGAGAAUGUUUUCAUUAGUCAAGAACGAAAGUUAGAGGUUCGAAGGCGAUCAGAUACCGCCCUAGUUCUAACCGUAAACGAUGUCGACCAGCAAUCCGCAACGGUCACUACACGGACUGUGCGGGCAGCUUCCCCGGGGAAACCAGAGUGUCUGGACUCCGGGGGAAGUAUGGUUGCAAAGCUGAAACUUAAAGGAAUUGACGGAAGGGCACCACCAGGAGUGGAGCUUGCGGCUUAAUUUGACUCAACACGGGACAACUCACCAGGCCCGGACACCGUAAGGAUUGACAGACUGAUAGCUCUCUCUUGAUUCAGUGGGUGGUGGUGCAUGGCCGUUCUUAGUUGGUGGAGUGAUUUGUCUGGUUUAUUCCGAUAACGAACGAGACUCUGGCCUAUUAAACUUGACACUGUCAGUCUCUUGCGACUGCGGUGCGCUUCUUAGAGGGAUCAUCGGCGUCCCAGCCGAAGGAAAGGGAGCAAUAACAGGUCUGUGAUGCCCUUAGAUGUUCUGGGCUGCACGCGUGUUACACUGAAGUGGUCAGCGCGCCGUUCAACACCCCUCUCCGUGAGGAGCUUGGGCAAACGUUUGAACCCUUUUCGUGAUGGGAAUUGGGGGUUGCAAUUGUCCCCCAUGAACGAGGAAUUCCAAGUAAGCGCAGGUCACUAGCCUGCGUUGAUUAAGUCCCUGCCCUUUGUACACACCGCCCGUCGCUACUACCGAUGGAUGAUUUGGUGAGGUCGCCUAGACUGGCUGCUGGCUUCGGCCGUGCGGCCGGGAAGACGCCCAAACUUGGUCGUCUAGAGGAAGUAAAAGUCGUAACAAGGUUUCC
rnacentral:rRNA from 1 species